AAAAACAUAUCACUCGUCAAUAGAAACGUCUCGUGGCAUUUAAUGUUAGCUCGAACUAAAAAGUGAAAUCUACUUAAUCUAUAUUCUACAUCUUCGGUUGACUUACAUAGCUCAAGUUAAAGUAAAAGUAUACAGCUGAAUUAUCUCUAACCUUAAACCUACGCUAUACUAGACCUACAUGCAAAGUUACAGAUAUUAAUGCAUAAGCAUCAUCAGUAGGAAUUCCGUAACCGCCUAGCCUAUUCGACACACUGUGACUGUACCUAUUCCGUGAACCCUGCAUGGUGGAACUAAACGUAAGUGAUAAUUGGCCAAAAUAACUUAAUGAACUGAAACUAAUUGUAAAAGUAACUAUCUUGGACCUAAC